GAAAUGCGAUAAGUAAUGUGAAUUGCAGAAUUCCGUGAAUCAUUAAAUCUUUGAACGCAAAUUGCACUUCUUGGUAUUCCGAGAAGUAUGCUUGCUUGAGGGUUGGUCUACAAAAUAAAUCGUGAAAAAUUUUUUUCGCGGAUCUGGGUUUUUCCAAAAUGGUAACCUUAAAUUUAUCUUAACAAUCAUUAGGUAUUGAUAUUAGAAAUGUUUAUCUUAUGCAUUGAUAAUUAUACCAAUUGUUACAUCGCGUUAUUCAUCUAGUAUCCUUUAUUAGGUGGAAUAACUCAAUCUUUCUAAUCCUACCUCAAGUCAAGUAAGAAUACCCGCUGAACUUAA
rnacentral:misc_RNA from 1 species